rnacentral:rRNA from 1 species
UACGUAGGGGGCGAGCGUUUGUCCGGAAUUAUUGGGCGUAAAGAGCGUGUAGGCGGUUCGGUAAGUCUGCCGUGAAAUCCUGGGGCUCAACCCCGGGCGCGGUGGAUACUGCCGGGCUAGAGGGUGGUAGAGGCGAGUGGAAUUCCCGGUGUAGCGGUGAAAUGCGCAGAUAUCGGGAGGAACACCCGUGGCGAAGGUCGGUUCUCUGGGACGGUACUGACGCUGAGACGCGAAAGCGUGGGGAGCGAACAGG